rnacentral:lncRNA from 1 species
CCCAAUUAAAAUAAAUAUAGCAGCCCAUACCUAUUAAAUAAUGAGGCCCAGAGUUUAAUUAACAGAUAAGGCCCAGCUCAAUUUUUUUGAGGCCCAGCUCAAUUAAAAACACAACCCAGUAAUAAAUAAAUCGGACCCAACAGCCCAUCUCCAAUUCCUUCUUCUUCAACCUCAUGUUGAAAAACCGCUCAAUCUCUCGCUCUCGGCUCACACACAGGCACAAACCGGCCGCCGCCGCUACCCCAUCGUUACGCACGACUCAUUUUCACUCUGCCCGUCUUCGUCUACUCUCCCCCGACGUGACAGCUAACGGCGGCAGCGAAGGAGCCGCCGCCUGAAGCCCAGACUCUGGACGACUGUAGCAGCUUCCUGCCACCGCCGCCCUCUACUCCUUUAUUUCCAGGCAGGCCCUCCUCCUCGUGACUCGAGGAGGACAACUCAACAACGGAAUCAAAGCUCAAGAACACGAAGAAUCCCCUCUGUUUUAUAAAUCUAUACGGAGCCCUUGUCAUUACAAGGCUCAGAUUUCAUUUCAUUAUAUAGUAUAUUCUUCUCUUAUUCAGUUUCUUACACAUGUUAAAGUAAAGAGUUCACACGUAUAGUAUAUGAAAUGCUUAGUCGAUGUUUACUGCUUUUGAAACGAAGUGAAACAUGAGGCGUGAUUAAAAGAUUGAAGUAGAACCUCGUGGGUUUGUGGUUGUUUGUGCUUGGUAAUAUGCUGUGAAUCUGUGGGAUGGAGUUCUUGCAGUUCGGCAGAAUGUAAUUUGAGAUUUUCUUGGUGUGUUUAUUUAUUUGAGUCCUUGGCUUGGCUGAUAAUAUAGAAAGUAAGCAGUGGUGUGGAGGUGACGGCCUAACACAACAGUUAGCUGCUGUUCUUUCUGGCGGAGGUAUAGGUAAAUUAUGGCCUAGACUGAAUUUGAGCAUGUUAAUGGGAAAAGACAAAAACUUAAAAUUAUAAAAUAAAUCAAAAACAUAUAAUUUUGAGUGACUUUGGUUGGCUAGCAGUAUAAGAGCAUCCGCAUUGGGGGUUCCUUGGUAACCUAGUUGAUAGCCUACUUGAUAGUAUUUGUGUUAUUGAGUAGGUAGUGCUGCAUUGGGGUUACUUGAUAGCCUACUUGAUAAUAUUAGUUUUGAUUUUAUGUUUUUCAUUUAAAUUUAAUUGCUCAAAUUUAAAUAACACAAUUUAUUUCAAAUUUAAAUUGCAUUAAUUAUAAAAUCCUAAAUAUUACAUAAAACUUUAAUAAAAUAAAAAAACAAAAAAAAACAAAAUAAAAACAGCCAUUGAAAAUUAAAAUAUAUAUAUUUUUUUUAUUUGAGGCUCGAGUACUACCCGAUUACUCGAGUAGUACUCGAGGAGACAUUAGUUGCAACGCCAUGCUCGAGGAUGGUACAUUACUCGAGUGAUGCUCGAGGAGCCCGCGAUGCGGGUGCUCUAAGAGCAUUGGCAUCGGCAUCCUCGAUGCCUUACUCGAACUCGAGUAUUGCAUUCGAGUAGGCGAUGCAGGGAGGAGCUACUCGAGUUUUUGAGUAUGCUCGAGUGAUUUUUUUUUUUAAUUCUCUUCUCCUCUUUAAAAAUUUCUCUCUCCUCUUUAAAAACUAAAAAAAUCAAGUAGACUAUCAAGGAACCCCAAUGCAGCACUACCUACUCAAUAACACAACCACUAUCAAGUAGGCUAUCAAGUAGGCUAUCAAGGAACCCCCAAUGCGGAUGCUCUAAAUAAGAUGAAGGUUGGGUUGUGUAUUUGAAGGAAAGAAAAAUAAAUAUUUUAAUUGAGGGUUGGGUUGAAGGAAAGUCACUAAUGGGGAUGAUUAGACAUGAGUGAAGGGGGAGAAAUGAUGUUGAUAAAAAAGUGUUUUAAAAGUUAUGACGAUGAUGAGACAAUUAAAAACUCUUGAUAUAAGAGUUUGGAUCUUUAACAAUUCUUCAUGGUUUUGUUUUGCUAAUUCAAAACACUCGUGCUCAAUUUAAAUAAAUAUGCAAUGCAUAAGAAUUUAAAUAACUAAAUUUACAAAUAUAUUUUUGUAAAUCGUCUUUGUUGGAAUUAAAAUAAAUUCAUUUUCUUUUAUUCGGCGUGAAUCAUCUUCCUAUCUAAGUUCAAAAUUUUUUCUAAACUUAGCUCGAGGAAACGGGGUAUUACAAUUUGUUCGGCGAUAGUUUGUAAGAUUUGAUUUGAAUAAUUAUUUUGGUCGUGGAGUUUUUUGAUAUCACUCAUUUUUGGACCAUCUUCUCCGUCUCUUCCAGUACGAAAUGGAGUAGCAGAUAUUUCUCCAUUAGGAAUUUGUAUUUUGAUAUUUUGUAGAGGAGGAUGAAUGGAAGUUAAUAUAGAACCAGUAGCUAAUUUUCAUUUUUUAUAAAGGUUUGUUUGAACAUUUAUUUGAUCCAGAUUGUAGACAUUAUUAAUAUCAUUAAGCNAAUAUAGAGUCAGCCACUACUUAGCCAUUAAACUUGAAUUGAAGAAGAGAGUAAACCUUGUUGUAAAAAUCAGUCUACUUGAUUUAUAAACACUCUCUUAGAAGUGUCUAGGCAAUCACAUUCUUACAUCAUUAGUCUAGUCCUUGAUUACUCGAGAACCUGUUCUCAGUAAUCUUAGUUGGAAGAUUUUCAAACCCCUUUUCAACCGAGAGAAAAGAGCGUUUGAGUGUAAGAGUUUUAGACGGUUGUCUAAACUCGAGAGUUUCCAGUCCUCACAAACUAGACGAGUGAAGUCUUAGCAUUUUUGUAAGAUUGAAAGAAGAAGAGAAACCCAACCCAGUGCGUUGGUACUGAAACGGUUGUUUCAGUUGUUAGGUUUGUUGUACACCCGUAAGCACAGGUGUAAUCGAUUGUCAGUGUGAUCAACUGAUCGUGGACGUAAGAAAAGGUUUUUCGAACCACGUUAAAAAUCUAUGUGUUAUUUACAGCUUUCAGUAAUUCAUAUCUUAUCUGUGCACUACAACUAUAUACUGAACCUGUUAAUUUGAAAAGAGAAACAUUAAAAUUGACAAUCUGAUUCACUAAAGGCUAUUUCCUUAAAUCGUUUCCGCUCACCAAGUGUUAUCAGUCUAACUGACAAACAUUUGGGUAGUCAAUAAGAUUUAUAACACUUGCUCUGAUUUGCAACUGUUUAGACUGAAGCCUUAUCUGAACUAUCAGUUUGUCGACUUGUUCUUCAUACUGAAGUUAACUACUGAAUCAUUAUCAGUAUCAGUCUACCCCUUCUUUCAACUGAACUUGUUUUUCACUGAUCACGUUUACAUUACUCUUUUCAGUCAAAGAAAGAAGUUCAAAAUUUUUAAAAUAGCCUACUGGUGUAUUUCCCCCUCCCCCAUCAGUUCAGUGACCUUCCGGGAUCCAACAAUUGGUAUCAGAGCAGGUUGUUCGCAAGAACAAACUGCUUUGACCCGGUUCUACUGAACUAGAUCCUUUUAAGGGAUUACAAACUUUUCAAAAAAGUUUCCUCCGUGCUAACUACGUAUUGUUAUUAUGCAGAUCAUUCGUUAAAAAUAACUAAUCAAACUUAGCUAUAAAGUCUAAUACUCCCUCCGUCCGCCAAGAUUAUGGCAAUUUGCUUGGGCACGGGAUUUAAUAAAAUUGAUGAUGAUUUUGAUGUAGUGGAGAAAGGGUCCCACCACUUUAUGAGAUGAGUGGUUGAGAUUGAAUUUUGAGUGGUUUUUUUGUAAAUAAAAAGUGUUAGUAAGGAUAAAAUAUUAAAGAGGAUGGUGGGACCAUUGCCAUAAAAGGAAAAUGACAUAAUCUUGGCGGACGCCCGAUAUAGUAAUUGUGACAUAAUCUUGGCGGACGGAGGGAGUAAUUAAAAUAGGACAGGCCACACUUUAAGAAAAUAUGCUCAGCCCAUAUUUAAAUGCAGAUUGGCCCAAUUAAAAUAAAUAGAGCAGCCCACACCUAUUAAAUAAUGAGGCCCAGAGUUUAAUUAACAGAUAAGGCCAAGCUCAAUUUUUUUUAGGCCCAGCUCAAUUAAAAACACAACCCAGUAAUAAAUAAAUGGGACCCAACAGCCCAUCUCCAAUUCCUUCUUCAGCCUCAUGUUGAAAAACCGCUCAAUCUCUCGCUCUCGGCUCACACACAGGCACAAACCGGCCGCCGCCGCUACCCCAUCGUUACGCACGACUCAUUUUCACUCUGCCCGUCUUCGUCUACUCUCCCCCGACGUGAAAGCUAACGGCGGCAGCGAAGGAGCCGCCGCCUGAAGCCCAGACUCUGGACGACUGUAGCAGCUUCCUGCCACCGCCGCCCUCUACUCCUUUAUUUCCAGGCAGGCCCUCCUCCUCGUGACUCGAGGAGGACAACUCAACAACGGAAUCAAAGCUCAAGAACACGAAGAAUCCCCUCUGUUUUAUAAAUCUA